CAGUACUGUAUAAAAGAAGAAACUGUGAGAAACUGCUCCAAAUGGCUCAUAUCCACUAUGACCUUGAGCGUCUAUGCACUCAUCACUUCUUGGUCGGGUUCCAUUUCGCUAAUGCAGCGGAAAUGAGCCGUGGGCAUUGCAAAGCGAAGUGGAGCAGAUUCGUGGCGGCAUUUCACCACUGCACACCAUGAAAACACAAACAGGGCCAGGCAUAACAAGGCUCGACACACACAAGAGAUGAAGACGCUGGAGAGGGCAAUGACACAGAAAGCUCAGAGGCUGGCCACGUGCAAUUCAAUUGGACGGCAAUUAAAACACAUGAGAGCUCCACAUUCAGAUCCUAGUAGAUGCUGCUGUCCUUCCCUACCUGAAGUAUUUCUCCAGGUCGAUGACCACCAGGCUGAGGAUCU